ACCUUGUUUAUACGAUUAUAGUCAGAUUGUUUAAUUAAUCCCAUAUCCAAAGCAUAAUCUGUGUAAGCUCCAUACUGGAUUGCAGGAUCAGUAAGCCCAUUGCCAAUGGCAAAUCCCUUAAGGUUUAUAUGAAUUCCUUCUUUAGCUUUGUUUCCUUGGUGAACUCGAGCAGCAAAAGCAGGAAUAUAGUGACCAGCAUAUGAUUCUCCAGUUAUGUAAAAUUCAUUAUUGACAAAUUCAGGAUGCUCUGAAAAGAAGGCCUGUAAGAAGUCAUACAGGUCAUUACUAACUCCCUGCUCAUUGUGACGAAUGUCACGUAUAUCAGAACUAAAACUGAAUCCAGUCCCAAUAGGUUGGUCAACAUAUAGAAGAUUUGAUGCCUUGUCCCAACCAUACGGAUUCCAUACAAGAGACAUGUUGUCUGCAAUAGUAAAAGGACCAUUUUCAUAAAACAUUGCCAACUCACUGCUACACCCUGGUCCUCCAGUCAACCAAAUAACAACAGGGUCCUUCUUGCUGUUGCGUGACUCAAAGAAGAAAUAAAACAUUCUGGCAGCGUGGGAGUUCGCAAUCUUAUAAUAACCGGCAUGGUGGCCCAAAUCCUCCACAGAAACCCCACCAAACUCGUCGUCAACGACAUUCGGAAACCUAAACCGCUUCUCGACGAUUCUAUUCCUUCCAUCAAGAAGACCAGCGUCGCCGUCACGUAAGACGUUGACGUCCUUCGCCGGGAAGAGAUUAAGCUCCCGAAUCAGCUUCCCAGCCUGAACGGACGGGAAUGUCGAUCUCGGAAGAGAGAGAUGAUGAUGGUCGUCGGGAAAUUUCGCACGAGAUAUCGCGACAAGAGAGAGAAGCAACACACAACAGAAAGUCAGUUUCUCCAUUUUCUCGUCUCUUCUUC
rnacentral:misc_RNA from 1 species